AUUGAACGCUGGCGGCAGGCCUAACACAUGCAAGUCGAACGAGUGGCGGACGGGUGAGUAAUGUCUGGGAAACUGCCCGAUGGAGGGGGAUAACUAAGGGAAAAGGUAGCUAAUACCGCAUACCAUCGGAUGUGCCCAGAUGGGAUUAGCUAGUAGGUGGGGGUACGGCUCACCUAGGCGACCAUCCCUAGCUGGUCUGAGAGGAUGACCAGCCACACUGGAACUGAGACACGGUCCAGACUCCUCCGGGAGGCAGCAGUGGGGAAUAUUGCACAAUGGGCGCAAGCCUGAUGCAGCCAUGCCGCGUGUAUGAAGAAGGCCUUCGGGUUGUAAAGUACUUUCAGCGAGGAGGCGUUACUCGCAGAAGAAGCACCGGCUAACUCCGUGCCAGCAGCCGCGGUAAUUC
rnacentral:rRNA from 1 species